rnacentral:lncRNA from 1 species
UUUGUAAAAGUUGCAAUCAAAAAGAUCAUAUUACAAAAAUGUGCUAGUAAGACCCUCAAAACAAUUCAAGAGCUCUUAUAACAUACUAAUUAUGAUUGCACCAAAUUAAAGUGUUCAAACCCAAAUUGGAUACACCAACUUGAAUUUGAAGGGAAUGUUAAAAUAUUAGAAAUAUUCUAUAAUAAUUCCUUCUUGAUUUAGUCUGAAAAUAUGGACUAAAUAUUCAGAAUUAUUGGCAUCAAAACACCAACGCAUAUCAAUGAUUAUCAGAGGUUUCCACGAUAUUAAUAGAGCUAUCUUGACUCUUACCUGAGAUUACAUUGUAAUGUGGAACAUAUUCUGGUGCUAAAAUUUAAUACUCUACAAAAUUUCUUCGAUGAACAGCGGCUCCAGAUGCUCUCCAAGUUUAUGAUACACAAACGAAGUUGGAUGUAACGCUGUCCAGAUGAACAUCCCGUCUUUGCUCUCUGAAUCAUUUUACCUUGUUCUUCAAAUGUUUGUGCAAACUUGUUCCGUCAAACAAAAUUUCUACAGUGAAAGUGAUGAAUUGUCACAGUUGUACAACGGAAGUUGGUCUUCCGUUGUACAAAGUAAGAAACACACCUUAAAAAUCACACAUAGUGCGACAGGAGAUGAGAUGUAGAACACUUCAAUCUGCAACUCUGUCCCAGGUGAACAUCCCCGAAUACAUAUCUGCAUCAUUGUAACCGGGGAAAGGUGGCCUAAAUACACAAAAGGAGAAUAUUUUGCAAAAUUUAAUUUGAACAUUCUUACCUGUAUUCACAAUGUUCAGACCAUGCACAUCGAGCUUUCCCGUAAUCCCAAUAGCAGUCCUCAUCCCUCAGAGGCCCACGCUUUGCUUUUUGUUGCAAUACUUACAAUGUCAAUAGAAACUCAACAUUUAUAGAAGAAAAUAGUGAGGAAUCAGACACCACCUUUUGUAACAAAGUUAGACUUUUUAUCAGGAUGAAUAUC